AAAACUUUAAAAGAAAAAUUGCCGAUGAGUCUUUUCUAUGAUAAUAGCGAAUGUGAGAAUUGAAAUAUGUACCACAAACAUACUUUCACGCACAUAUUCGUGUCGAUACAAGUGUACGUUGACGAAUAAGAGGCCCUGUUUGCUGCACAUUUAACAGUCAGCAUGCAGUCAUCCAACUAUUAUGUCAUUCGGAUCCUAUAAGAAUAGAUCUACAACAGUGGUUCUCAAAUUAUUCGUUAUGAAUUUGGGAGAUGAAAAUUAUAACACGUAUCAGUCCACUAUUAAUUUUUGUAAAAC
rnacentral:misc_RNA from 1 species